rnacentral:tRNA from 1 species
GGGGGUAUAGCUCAGCGGUAGAGCGUUUGACUGCAGAUCAAGAGGUCCCUGGUUAAACUCCGGGUGCCCUCC